rnacentral:misc_RNA from 1 species
GGGUUAGCAACUCUUUGUGAGAUUGAUUUAUGCAUUAUCGUCUUAGAUUCAAAGCAAGGUAGCAAGCAUGUCUAGCCAGAGAACUGGCCUGUGGAUCCUCAAAAGAUUAGGCAUAAUUCUCAAAAGGUACCAAAUGAGAAGCAAGCAAAGAGACUCAAUCGACAGUCAUAUCCUUGACAAUUCGGAGGUAAGCAGAACGAGGUUGUUGCUGAAUUCUCAGAUUUGCGCAAGCAAAUAUGCCUAGCUGAAUAUCCCCCAUUGGAUGAACGCAUCAACAGUUACGCAGAGAAUGAAUUGAAGCUACU